GACGAACGCUGGCGGCGUGCUUAACACAUGCAAGUCGAGCGGUAAGGCCCCUUCGGGGGUACACGAGCGGCGAACGGGUGAGUAACACGUGGGUGACCUGCCCUCAGCUCUGGGAUAAGCCUGGGAAACUGGGUCUAAUACCGGAUAUGACUCCAUGACGCAUGUCGUGGGGUGGAAAGCCUUGUGCGGCUGGGGAUGGGCCCGCGGCCUAUCAGCUUGUUGGUGGGGUGAUGGCCUACCAAGGCGACGACGGGUAGCCGGCCUGAGAGGCGACCGGCCACACUGGGACUGAGACACGGCCCAGACUCCUACGGGAGGCAGCAGUGGGGAAUCUUGCGCAAUGGGCGAAAGCCUGACGCAGCGACGCCGCGUGAGGGAUGACGGCCGU
rnacentral:rRNA from 1 species